UACGUAGGGUGCAAGCGUUAUCCGGAAUUAUUGGGCGUAAAGAGCUCGUAGGCGGUGUGUCGCGUCGGCCGUGAAAACCUGGGGCUCAACUCUGGCGUGCGGUCGAUACGGGCAUCACUUGAGUUCGGCAGGGGAGACUGGAAUUCCUGGUGUAGCGGUGAAUGCGCAGAGUAAUCAGGAGGACACCGGUGGCGAAGGCGG
rnacentral:rRNA from 1 species